AGAGUUUGAUCAUGGCUCAGAACGUACGCUGGCGGCACGCCUAACACAUGCAAGUCGAACGAAGUAGCAAUACUUAGUGGCAGACGGGUGAGUAACAUGUAGGUAUCUGCCCUUUGGCCUGGAAUAACACGAGGAAACUUGUGCUAAUACCGGAUAAGUCUUUACGGAGAAAGCUUUAUGCACCAUUGGAUGAGCCUGCACUUGAUUAGUUUGUUGGUGGGGUAAUGGCCUACCAAGACUGUGAUCAAUAGCUGAUUUGAGAGGAUGAUCAGCCACAUUGGGACUGAGACACGGCCCAAACUCCUACGGGAGGCAGCAGUGGGGAAUCUUGCACAAUGGAGGAAACUCUGAUGCAGCGAUGCCGCGUGAGUGAAGAAGGCCCUUGGGUUGUAAAGCUCUUUCGUCGGGGAAGAAAAUGACUGUACCCGAAUAAGAAGGUCCGGCUAACUUCGUGCCAGCAGCCGCGGUAAUACGAAGGGACCUAGCGUAGUUCGGAAUUACUGGGCUUAAAGAGUUCGUAGGUGGUUGAAAAAGUUAGUGGUGAAAUCCCAGAGCUUAACUCUGGAACUGCCAUUAAAACUUUUCAGCUAGAGUAUGAUAGAGGAAAGCAGAAUUUCUAGUGUAGAGGUGAAAUUCGUAGAUAUUAGAAAGAAUACCAAUUGCGAAGGCAGCUUUCUGGAUCAUUACUGACACUGAGGAACGAAAGCAUGGGUAGCGAAGAGGAUUAGAUACCCUCGUAGUCCAUGCCGUAACGAUGUGUGUUAGACGU
rnacentral:rRNA from 1 species